GUGGCAAUAUAAGCAAAUAGUGAAAGCGUGCGGCUCAACCGCAUAUCCAUUAUUUGAACUGUAUAGCUAGAGUACGGGAGAGGUAGAUGGAAUUCCCAGUGUAGGAGUGAAAUCCGUAGAUAUUGGGAGGAACACCGAUGGCGUAGGCAGUCUACUGGCCCGUUACUGACACUAAGGCACGAAAGCGUGGGGAGCGAACGGGAUUAGAUACCCCGGUAGUCCACGCCGUAAACGAUGGAUGCUAGCUGUUAGAAGUAUCGACCCUUCUAGUAGCGAAGCUAACGCGUUAAGCAUCCCGCCUGUGGAGUACGAGCGCAAGCUUAAAACAUAAAGGAAUUGACGGGGACCCGCACAAGCGGUGGAGCGUGUUGUUUAAUUCGACGAUAAGCGAAGAACCUUACCAAGGUUUGACAUCCUGGGAAUCUAUCCGAAAGGAAAGAGUGCCUUUUAGGAACCCAGUGACAGGUGUUGCAUGGCCGUCGUCAGCUCGUGUCGUGAGAUGUUUGGUUAAGUCCAUCAACGAGCGCAACCCUUAUAGUUAGUUGAAUUUCUCUAGCUAGACUGCCCCGGUAACGGGGAGGAAGGAGGGGAUGAUGUCAGGUC
rnacentral:rRNA from 1 species